rnacentral:rRNA from 1 species
GACUUCGUGAAGCUGGAUUCGCUAGUAAUCGCGCAUCAGCCAUGGCGCGGUGAAUACGUUCCCGGGCCUUGUACACACCGCCCGUCAAGCCAUGAAAGCCGGGGGUACCUGAAGUACGUAACCGCAAGGAUCGUCCUAGGGUAAAACUGGUAAUUGGGGCUAAGUCGUAACAAGGUAUC